rnacentral:rRNA from 1 species
ACGAACGCUGGCGGCACGCUUAACACAUGCAAGUCGAACGAGAGAAGAGAAGCUUGCUUUUCUGAUCUAGUGGCGGACGGGUGAGUAACACGUGAGCAAUCUGCCUUUCAGAGGGGGAUACCGAUUGGAAACGAUCGUUAAUACCGCAUAACAUAAUUGAACCGCAUGAUUUGAUUAUCAAAGAUUUAUCGCUGAAAGAUGAGCUCGCGUCUGAUUAGCUAGUUGGUAAGGUAACGGCUUACCAAGGCGACGAUCAGUAGCCGGACUGAGAGGUUGAUCGGCCACAUUGGGACUGAGACACGGCCCAGACUCCUACGGGAGGCAGCAGUGGGGAAUAUUGCACAAUGGAGGAAACUCUGAUGCAGCGAUGCCGCGUGAGGGAAGAAGGUUUUAGGAUUGUAAACCUCUGUCUUCAGGGACGAAAAAAGACGGUACCUGAGGAGGAAGCUCCGGCUAACUACGUGCCAGCAGCCGCGGUAAUACGUAGGGAGCGAGCGUUGUCCGGAAUUACUGGGUGUAAAGGGAGCGUAGGCGGGAUCGCAAGUCAGAUGUGAAAACUAUGGGCUUAACCCAUAAACUGCAUUUGAAACUGUGGUUCUUGAGUGAAGUAGAGGUAAGCGGAAUUCCUAGUGUAGCGGUGAAAUGCGUAGAUAUUAGGAGGAACAUCAGUGGCGAAGGCGGCUUACUGGGCUUUAACUGACGCUGAGGCUCGAAAGCGUGGGGAGCAAACAGGAUUAGAUACCCUGGUAGUCCACGCCGUAAACGAUGAUUACUAGGUGUGGGGGGACUGACCCCUUCCGUGCCGCAGCAAACGCAAUAAGUAAUCCACCUGGGGAGUACGACCGCAAGGUUGAAACUCAAAGGAAUUGACGGGGGCCCGCACAAGCAGUGGAGUAUGUGGAUUAAUUCGAAGCAACGCGAAGAACCUUACCAGGUCUUGACAUCGUAUGCAUAGCUCAGAGAUGAGUGAAAUCUCUUCGGAGACAUAUAGACAGGUGGUGCAUGGUUGUCGUCAGCUCGUGUCGUGAGAUGUUGGGUUAAGUCCCGCAACGAGCGCAACCCUUACUGUUAGUUGCUACGCAAGAGCACUCUAGCAGGACUGCCGUUGACAAAACGGAGGAAGGUGGGGAUGACGUCAAAUCAUCAUGCCCCUUAUGACCUGGGCCUCACACGUACUACAAUGGCUGUUAACAGAGGGAUGCAAAGCCGCGAGGUGGAGCGAACCCCUAAAAGCAGUCUUAGUUCGGAUUGUAGGCUGCAACCCGCCUACAUGAAGUCGGAAUUGCUAGUAAUCGCAGAUCAGCAUGCUGCGGUGAAUACGUUCCCGGGCCUUGUACACACCGCCCGUCACGCCAUGGGAGUCGGUAACACCCGAAGCCUGUAGUCUAACCGCAAGGAGGACGCAGUCGAAGGUGGGAUUGGUGACUGGGGUG